rnacentral:tRNA from 1 species
GAGGGUAUAGCUCAGUGGUAGGGCACGUGCUUAGCAUGCCCAAGGUCCUGGGUUCAAUACCCAGUACCACCA